UACGUAGGGGGCAAGCGUUAUCCGGAAUUACUGGGUGUAAAGGGAGCGUAGGCGGUAAUGUAAGUCUGGAGUGAAAGGCGGGGGCCCAACCCCCGGACUGCUCUGGAAACUAUGUUACUAGAGUGCAGGAGAGGUAAGCGGAAUUCCUAGUGUAGCGGUGAAAUGCGUAGAUAUUAGGAGGAACACCAGUGGCGAAGGCGGCUUACUGGACCGUAACUGACGUUGAGGCUCGAAAGCGUGGGGAGCAAACAGG
rnacentral:rRNA from 1 species